ACCGGCAGCUCGAGUGGUAGCCGCGUUUAUUGGGCCUAAAGCGUCCGUAGCCGGUCCGAUAAGUCUCUGGUGAAAGCCCACAGCUCAACUGUGGGAAUCGCUGGAGAUACUAUCGGACUUGAGGCCGGGAGAGGCUGGAGGUACUCCCAGGGUAGGGGUGAAAUCCUAUAAUCCUGGGAGGACCACCUGUGGCGAAGGCGUCCAGCUGGAACGGACCUGACGGUGAGGGACGAAAGCCAGGGGCGCGAACCG
rnacentral:rRNA from 1 species